AACGCACAUUGCGCCCGCUAGUAUUCUGGCGGGCAUGCCUGUUCGAGCGUCAUUUCAACCAUCAAGCCCCUGUGCUUGUGUUGGAGCCCUGCGGCUGCCGCAGGCUCCCAAACCCAGUGGCGGGCUCGUCGUCGUACCGAGUGCAGUAAAUUUACCACGCUCAGGGCACGCGACGGGUGACCGGCCGUAAAACCCCCACUAUAACAAGGUUGACCUCGGAUCAGGUAGGAAUACCCGCUGAACUUAA
rnacentral:misc_RNA from 1 species